GAUGAACGCUGGCGGCGUGCCUAAUACAUGCAAGUCGAACGCUGGAAAUCUAGCUUGCUAGAUUGAAGGAGUGGCGAACGGGUGAGUAAUACAUAAGCAACCUACCCACGAAGACUGGGAUAAUCUCUGGAAACGGGGACUAAUACCGGAUAGGUAAUCGGAAGGCAUCUUCUGAUUAUUAAAGGUUAAAAACACUGGUGGAUGGGCUUAUGGCGCAUUAGUUAGUUGGUGAGGUAACGGCCCACCAAGACGAUGAUGCGUAGCCGGCCUGAGAGGGUGAACGGCCACAUUGGGACUGAGCCACGGCCCAGACUCCUACGGGAGGCAGCAGUAGGGAAUUUUCGGCAAUGGGGGAAACCCUGACCGAGCAACGCCGCGUGAGUGAUGACGGCCUUCGGGUUGUAAAGCUCUGUUGUAAGGGAAGAACGGUAGAUAGAGAAUAUCUAAAUGACGGUACCUUACCAGAAAGCCACGGCUAACUACGUG
rnacentral:rRNA from 1 species